rnacentral:rRNA from 1 species
GACGGAGGGUGCAAGCGUUGUUCGGAUUGACUGGGCGUAAAGGGCGUGUAGGCGGUUGGUCAAGUCUGAUGUGAAAGCCCGGGGCUCAGCCCCGGAAGGGCAUCGGAAACUAGCCAGCUGGAGCGCGAUAGAGGAGGGUGGAAUUCCUGGUGUAGCGGUGAAAUGCGUAGAUAUCAGGAGGAACACCGGCGGCGAAGGCGACUUCCUGGCCUGUUCUUGACGCUGAGGCGCGAAAGCUAGGGGAGCAAACGGG